rnacentral:lncRNA from 1 species
CAACAACAACAACAAACCCAGUGUAUUCCCACUUAGUGGGGUCUGGGGGGGGUAAGAUGUACGCAGUCCAUACCUCUACCUCUGAUGAAGUAGAAAGGUUGUUUCCGAAAGACCCACGGCUCAAGGCACAAGAUAUCACACAAACACAUAGUAAAGCACAGAAGCAGAUGACAUAACAUAAAUACGGCACCCAUAAGGAAUAUAAAACAGAGGAAAGCAGAGGAAAGCACACAGAUUCGUAAUAAGCAUAGAACCCUGAAUACGGAAUCAUAACGGGAA